AUGUCCAAACUGCCCCUGCCCUACUCAGUCCAUCCCAACGGGGUACAUCUCUCACCGAGCACGCGGGAAGACCUGAGGCGGAGAUGGAGCUCCGGCGGAGGUGGCCGUGGCUCUGCCCCCGCUGGCCUUGUUGCUCACCCAGCCCGGAAAACCUGGGCCUCUCCAAGCACGGUGCUGGGGCGGGCGCGGAUGAGGCGACGGCGAGGUAGCGCGCGGCGGCUGGGCUCGACAUACAGCCACCGGUCUGCUCGUGGAGCACCUGCUUGGGGAGAGGAGCAGAAGCCGGACGGACGACGACGCCUCGAGGCGGACGGCCAGCGGAUGAUGUGUGCGUGGGCGUGCUUGUGUGUGCCACCUGGGCGUGAGUGCGUGCUCUGUGCAUGUGUUGUGUUUGUGUGCGUGAGUGCUCUAGCAGUUGCGCGCCCGGCUGUUGCUGCUGCUACUGCUGCAUGCACAGAGAAGGACGCCACUGUCCGAACUCGCUCAACUCGCCAAGCUCGCCAUGGACAGCCACCGUCGUCCCCGGGCAUGGACCGUGGACGGCACCCUCCGCGCGCCACAUCCAGCACGACUCGUGGCCACGGCGGUCACGUGCGCGUGGAGAUGCACGCGCGUCUAUUGGUGCUCGUGGCGGACAGCACGGUCCACGCCGUCAUGGGUGACCAGUGCAGGGAGUGCGGCGCCUUCCUCCGAGAGCUCGACUGGUCUAUAGGUGUUGCCCUUCGCCCGAGGAUCUCGUCCAUGGACUGCGCCUCGAGGCCCCAGGCCGGGCGCGUGAGGCCCAAAUGCUCUGGUGUGACUGAAUGCAUAAACUGCAGCUCUGCUCGAUUUAUUCUUGGGGCUGAAAGAUUGAUGCUUUUUACGCCUCGUUUUGCUCCCAAGAAUUGA
rnacentral:rRNA from 1 species